GACGAACGCUGGCGGCGUGCCUAAUACAUGCAAGUCGAACGCAGUGGGGACGGGUGAGUAACACGUGGGUAAACGCCCAUCAGAGGGGAUAACACUUGGAAACAGGUGCUAAACCGAUACUGAUGGAUGGACCCGCGGUGCAUUAGCUAGUUGGUGAGGGAACGGCUCACAAAGGCCACGAUGAAUAGCCGACCUGAGAGGGUGAGCGGACACACUGGGACUGAGACACGGCCCAGGCGCCGACGCGAGGCAGCAGUAGGGAAUCUUCCGCAAUGGACGAAAGUCUGACCGAGCAAAGCCGCGUGAGUGAAGAAGGUUUGCGGAUCGUAAAACUCUGUUGUUAGAGAAGCGGUAUCUAACCAGAAAUCCACGGCUAACUACGUGCCAGCAGCCGCGGUAAUAC
rnacentral:rRNA from 1 species